rnacentral:misc_RNA from 1 species
UUAAGUUCAGCGGGUAUUCCUACCUGAUCCGAGGUCAACUCUAAAAAAGUUGGGCGUUUUACGGCAGUGGCCGCGUCGCGCUCCCGCUUGCGAGGUUGUGCUACUACGCAGAGGAGGCCGCGACGAGGCCGCCAAUUCAUUUCGGGGGCGGCGGACGCACCGGGCACGCGCCCCGGAGGGCGGGCUCGGGCGAGGUCGCC